rnacentral:rRNA from 1 species
CCUACGGGAGACAGCAGUGGGGAAUUUUGGACAAUGGGCGCAAGCCUGAUCCAGCUAUUCCGCGUGUGGGAUGACGGCCUUCGGGUUGUAAACCACUUUUGUAGAGAACGAAAAGUCUGUUGAUAAUACCGAUAGAUGAUGACGGUACUCUAAGAAUAAGCACCGGCUAACUACGUGCCAGCAGCCGCGGUAAUACGUAGGGUGCGAGCGUUAAUCGGAAUUACUGGGCGUAAAGGGUGUGCAGGCGGUUUUGCAAGCUGGAUGUGAAAGCCCCGGGCUUAACCUGGGAAAGGCAUACGUGACUGGAAUACUUGAGUGCGUGAGAGGGGAGCGGAAUUCCAAGUGUAGCAGUGAAAUGCGUAGAUAUUUGGAAGAACACCGGUGGCGAAGGCGGCAUGCUGGACUGCAACUGACGUUGAGGCCCGAAAGCGUGGGGAGCAAACAGGAUUAGAUACCCGAGUAGUC